UAGGGCAGAAAUUUGAAUGAAACAUCGCCGGCACGAACAGAGAAGGCCAUGCGAUUCGAACAGUUACUAUGAAUCACAUGGCCUUCUCUGUUCGUGCCGGCGAUGUUUCAUUCAAAUUUCUGCCCUAUCAACUGUCGAUGGUAAGGUAGUGGCUUACCAUGGUUGCAACGGGUGACGGAGAAUUAG
rnacentral:rRNA from 1 species